rnacentral:rRNA from 1 species
CGGGGGAGCAAGCGUUGUUCGGAUUUACUGGGCGUAAAGGGCGCGUAGGCGGCCAGCACAAGUCAGUUGUGAAAUCUCCGAGCUUAACUCGGAAAGGUCAACUGAUACUGUGCGGCUAGAGUGCGGAAGGGGCAACUGGAAUUCUUGGUGUAGCGGUGAAAUGCGUAGAUAUCAAGAGGAACACCUGCGGCGAAGGCGGGUUGCUGGGCCGACACUGACGCUGAUGCGCGAAAGCCAGGGGAGCGAACGGGAUUAGAUACCCCGGUAGUCCUGGCCUUAAACGAUGAAUGCUUGGUGUCUGGGGUUAUAAAGUCCCCGGGUGCCGUCGCUAACGCUUUAAGCAUUCCGCCUGGGGAGUACGGUCGCAAGACUG